rnacentral:rRNA from 1 species
AGUGAACGCUGGCGGUAGGCCUAACACAUGCAAGUCGAACGGCAGCACAGUAAGAGCUUGCUCUUACGGGUGGCGAGUGGCGGACGGGUGAGGAAUACAUCGGAAUCUACUUUUUCGUGGGGGAUAACGGAGGGAAACUUACGCUAAUACCGCAUACGACCUACGGGUGAAAGCAGGGGAUCUUCAGACCUUGCGCGAUUCAAUGAGCCGAUGUCGGAUUAGCUAGUUGGCGGGGUAAAGGCCCACCAAGGCGACGAUCCGUAGCUGGUCUGAGAGGAUGAUCAGCCACACUGGAACUGAGACACGGUCCAGACUCCUACGGGAGGCAGCAGUGGGGAAUAUUGGACAAUGGGCGCAAGCCUGAUCCAGCCAUACCGCGUGGGUGAAGAAGGCCUUCGGGUUGUAAAGCCCUUUUGUUGGGAAAGAAAAGCAGCAGGUUAAUCCCCCGCUGUUCUGACGGUACCCAAAGAAUAAGCACCGGCUAACUUCGUG